GUGGGCUCUAAGGAACUGCCGGUGACAAACCGGAGGAAGGUGGGGACGACGUCAAGUCAUCAUGGCCCUUACGAGUUGGGCUACACACGUGCUACAAUGGCAUAUACAGAGGGCUGCUAUCUAGCGAUAGUGAGCGAAUCCCACGAAGUCCGNCGUAUUCCGGAUUGGAGUCUGCAUCUCGACUCCAUGAAGNCGGAAUCGCUAGUAAUCGAAAAUCACAANGCCCGGAGAAUUCUUUCCCGGGUCUUGNACACACCGCCC
rnacentral:rRNA from 1 species